UCUCUCUCUCAAAACUCAUUUCUAGGUUUUCGCCGAACACCACCUUCCGCGGCGGAGCCGAUCUUCUCCUUCUCAUGGAUGUGGUCCUCAUCAACACCAACCGCCGGUCCUUCGCCUCGUCGCGUUUCGAUUCCAGAAGACGGAGAUCUGCCUCGGCGUGCCGUUUCAGGCUCGCGGUAGCGAUCCGGCCUUCGAUUCAAUCAAUAUGAGCGACGACGAUUCAGAUUUCGUUGAUGAGGAGCACGAACGAUGCGGUUAGGAUUUCGUAUAAUUUCCUUACAGGAGCUAGAUGACCGUAACAAAAACAUGGAAGCUCAGUGAGGGCAGAGCAUGGGCAGGUGGUGAAAUAAAUAAAAGCUUGCUUACUCUUGGUCGUGUCAUAAAUGCUAUAUUUGAACACUCCGGUCAUAUUCCAUGGGUUGUUAUCCAGAGUGCAAGGAUAAAAUUGAAGAUGGUGGCAGCUAACUCACAACAGCUUGAAAUCUCGCACAAGACGGUGGCAGUUUCAAGAUCUAGACAAGAACUUAAUUGUCUUCGUUGCAGAGUUUUUCAAAGGAAUUGCUUCAGAAGCUCAUGAAUUACUUGUGAUCUUCCAACGUGUCUUCACAAGCAAGAGGAGACUUGCAAAACAACGCAUGAGGUUCAUAGUGCAGUGUCUAUUUCAUGUCCACAAGUACAGCAUCUUGUUUUGAAAAAAAUCUUCGUAAUUUUUUUGAGCUUCGUAAUGUUUUUUGAGCCGGUUUGAGGUUCCCUAUGUAAUGAGCCAUUAUGAAGAACUCUGUUGUAAAUAUUAGGCAGGAAAGAACUGCGUAACAGCAAGCCCAAUUUGU